rnacentral:rRNA from 1 species
GCACAGAGGGUGAUACUCCCGUCUUUGCUCAGAUUGUCUGUGUGUACGAUACGCUUUCUUUGAGUCGAGUUGUUUGGGAAUACAGCUCAAAGUAGGUGGUAAAUUCCAUCUAAAGCUAAAUAUUGGUGCGAGACCGAUAGCGAACAAGUACCGUGAGGGAAAGAUGAAAAGAACUUUGAAAAGAGAGUUAAAGAGUACCUGAAACUGUUGAAAGGGAACCGUAUCGUUUCCAGUGUUUUAUCCUAUGCAUAUUUCAUCGGCGGAGUAAUUUGCUGGUGCCCUGUGCAUGGGUGUGACGUCAGAGUCAGUUUGUAUGCUGCGGGAGAUGGUUAGUAAGAAGGUGCGUCACUUCGGUGAAAGUUAUAUCUUGCUAUCUAGUUGCCGUGGUUGAGACUGAGGUGCCUACAACAUGCCCUGGGGUUCAGUGGCGUCUCGUUUUGGUGACUGCUUGGAUAGCUUGCUAUGUCUGUGGUUAAUCAGGGCGAUCGAUGCUAUUGAAAACCUCUGCUGUUCGGGACUCUGGCGAAAUGGAGCGAUACGACCCGUCUUGAAACACGGACCAAGGAGUCUAACAUGUGUGCAAGUAUUAGGGCGUGGAAACCCAAAUGCGUAAUGAAAGUAAAUGCUGCUUAUGCAGCUGUGGUAGGAAAGGGCUGUUAUGGUCCUGGCACUAUCGACCGAUCAUGAGCCUACGGGCGAAAGAUUUGAGUAUGAGCAUAUAUGUUGGUACCCGAAAGAUGGUGAACUAUGCCUGAAUAGGGUGAAGCCAGGGGAAACUCUGGUGGAAGCUCGUAGCGAUUCUGACGUGCAAAUCGAUCGUCAAAUUUGGGUAUAGGGGGCGAAAGACUAAUCGAACCAUCUAGUAGCUGGUUCCCUCCGAAAUUUCCCUCAGGAUAGCAGCA